CGUUAUCAUCCAUCGGUUAAGAUAUCUGGCUUUCACCCAGGAGACCCGAGUUCGAUUCUCGGUAACG
rnacentral:tRNA from 1 species